GCGGCGAUGCAANCGGCAGCGGCAGACGGGAGAGNACCGCNGNUGGGAACGUGCCCUUAGUUCGGAACAACCCAGGGAAACUUUGGGCUAAUACCGGAUACGCCCUAACGGGGAAAGAUUUAUCGCUGAAGGAUCGGCCCGCGCUGAUUACGUAGUUGGUGAGGUAAUGGCUCACCAAGGCGACGAUCAGUAGCUGGUCUGAGAGGAUGAUCAGCCUCACUGGGACUGAGACACGGCCCAGACUCCUACGGGAGGCAGCAGUGGGGAAUAUUGGACAAUGGGCGCAAGCCUGAUCCAGCCAUGCCGCGUGGGUGAUGAAGGCCCUAGGGUUGUAAAGCCCUUUCGGCGGGGAAGAUAAUGACGGUACCCGCAGAAGAAGCCCCGGCUAACUUCGUGCCAGCAGCCGCGGUAAUACGAAGGGGGCUAGCGUUGCUCGGAAUCACUGGGCGUAAAGCGCACGUAGGCGGCUUGUUAAGUCGGGGGUGAAAUCCUGGAGCUCAACU
rnacentral:rRNA from 1 species